ensembl:snoRNA
UGGUCAUUAUUAUGGCUUUUAGAAUCAAGUUUCUCGUUUGCUGUGGACAUGACCAUAAAAACAUUUCUCACUAGGUUUUCUGUCUGUUACCUUGCUAGCAAUCAACCUGUUGGGAACAUUG